CGAGUUUGAUCCUGGCUCAGAUUGAACGCUGGCGGGAAUGCUUUACACAUGCAAGUCGAGCGGCAGCGCGGGGGCAACCCUGGCGGCGAGCGGCGAACGGGUGAGUAACACAUCGGAACGUACCCAGUUGUGGGGGAUAGCCCGGCGAAAGCCGGAUUAAUACCGCAUACGCCCUGAGGGGGAAAGUGGGGGAUCGCAAGACCUCACGUUAUUCGAGCGGCCGACGUCUGAUUAGCUUGUUGGUGAGGUAAUGGCUCACCAAGGCGACGAUCAGUAGCGGGUCUGAGAGGAUGAUCCGUCACACUGGAACUGAGACACGGUCCAGACUCCUACGGGGAGGCAGCAGGUGGGGUAAUUUUGGACAAUGGGGGAAACCCCUGAUCCAGCCAUUCCGCGUGAGUGAAGAAGGCCUUCGGGUUGUAAAGCUCUUUCAGCUGGAACGAAACGGUACGCUCUAACAUAGCGUGCUAAUGACGGUACCAGCAGAAGAAGCACCGGCUAGCUACGUG
rnacentral:rRNA from 1 species